GUCUGUCCUCACUGGGGUGUGUCCCUCUCUCCUAGACAACGCCAUCCCCAUCAAGUCGUGGUUCAGCGACCCCAGCGACACCGCCCUGCUCAACCUGCUGCCCAUGCUGGAUGCCCUGAGGUUCACAGCAGAUGUGCGGUCGGUGCUGAGCCGGAACCUCCAUCAGCACCGCCUCUGGUGACGUCAGCACCUCCUUUCUUCGGGCGGGGGCCCCUGACCUCCUCCGGAUCCCACCUCUAACACCACCACAACGUGGACUCCGCCACCGUUUUCUGAACUCUGGAGAAGAGCGGGGGGGGGUGCGCCCCCCAAUUCCCCACCAACAAAUGACUUCCCCCCCUGUGCCAAGAAUGGGUGGGGACUGACUCGGAGGGCGGAGCUUAUCCGGCAGCUGGACAAAGAAAGGGGGUGUGCAACUUUACGGCGCGCGGAUGGACGUGUCCGAUCAGGCUGGGGGAGUCUGGUUUUACAAGACCCCUCCCCCCCUCGGCCUUGUACAAAGACCUCGUUUUUUCUUUUCGUUUCCUUUUUCGUUCUGUUCUUCCCUCCACUCCUCCCCGGGCUCGAGCCGCUUGAUUUUUUUUUGGCCCGGGGGAGGUCUUGGGGCUCGGAAGACCCUUCUCUGUUGGUUUCUUUCCUCGGACUCUGCGGGGGAAGGAAAACCCGGGAGAGAAAUUAUAGCCGCUGAGCAAGGCCAGAACUGG